rnacentral:rRNA from 1 species
GAGACGGUUCUCUUUGAGACCCGUUAUCGGAAUGAGAACAAUUCAAACCUUUUAACGAGGAUCUACGAGAGGGCAAGUCUGGUGCCAGCAGCCGCGGUAAUUCCAGCUCUCGAAGUGUAUAUCAUUGCUGCUGCGGUUAAAAAGCUCGUAGUUGGAUCUGCGCUCUCGGAGCUGGUCUCCCCUCUGGGGUUGUACUGGUGUCCAGGGCUAAGUGUGCUGGUUUUCCCUUGAUGCUCUUAACCGGGUGUCCUGGGAGGCUGGCGAGUUUACUUUGAAAAAAUUAGAGUGCUCAAAACAAGCGUUGGCUUGAAUAAUGGUGCAUGGAAUAAUAGAAUAGGACCUUGGUUCUAUUUUGUUGGUUUUCGGAACACGAGGUAAUGAUUAAGAGGGACAGACGGGGGCAUUCGUAUUGCGACGUUAGAGGUGAAAUUCUUGGAUCGUCGCAAGACGGACUACUGCGAAGGCAUUUGCCAA